AUUGAACGCUGGCGGCAGGCCUAACACAUGCAAGUCGAGCGGAUGAGAGAAGCUUGCUUCUCGAUUCAGCGGCGAACGGGUGAGUAAUGCCUAGGAAUCUGCCUGGUAGUGGGGGACCACGUUUCGAAAGGAAUGCUAAUACCGCAUACGUCCUACGGGAGAAAGCAGGGGACCUUCGGGCCUUGCGCUAUCAGAUGAGCCUAGGUCGGAUUAGCUAGUUGGUGAGGUAAUGGCUCACCAAGGCGACGAUCCGUAACUGGUCUGAGAGGAUGAUCAGUCACACUGGAACUGAGACACGGUCCAGACUCCUACGGGAGGCAGCAGUGGGGAAUAUUGGACAAUGGGCGAAAGCCUGAUCCAGCCAUGCCGCGUGUGUGAAGAAGGUCUUCGGAUUGUAAAGCACUUUAAGUUGGGAGGAAGGGUUGUAGAUUAAUACUCUGCAAUUUUGACGUUACCGACAGAAUAAGCACCGGCUAACUCUGUGCCAGCCGCCGCGGUAAGAC
rnacentral:rRNA from 1 species